rnacentral:tRNA from 1 species
GGGCGGUUAACUCAGUUGGUAGAGUGUCAUCUCGACAAGGUGAAAGUCGUAGGUUCAAGUCCUAUACCGCCCA